rnacentral:rRNA from 1 species
GACGUAGGGAGCAAGCGUUGUCCGGAAUUACUGGGCGUAAAGAGCUCGUAGGCGGGUUCGUAAGUCUUAGAGUAAAUCUCACGGCUCAACCGUGGGGCCUUCUGAGAUACUGCGAAUCUUGAGGAUGUCAGAGGAAAGUAGAAUUCCCGGUGUAGCGGUGAAAUGCGUAGAUAUCGGGAGGAAUACCAGUGGCGAAGGCGACUUUCUGGGACAUUCCUGACGCUGAGGAGCGAAAGCGUGGGGAGCAAAC